rnacentral:rRNA from 1 species
CAUACCUUAAUGUUGCCUCGGCGGAUCAGCCCGCGCCCCGUAAAACGGGACGGCCCGCCAGAGGACCCAAACUCUAAUGUUUCUUAUUGUAACUUCUGAGUAAAACAAACAAAUAAAUCAAAACUUUCAACAACGGAUCUCUUGGUUCUGGCAUCGAUGAAGAACGCAGCAAAAUGCGAUAAGUAAUGUGAAUUGCAGAAUUCAGUGAAUCAUCGAAUCUUUGAACGCACAUUGCGCCCGCUGGUAUUCCGGCGGGCAUGCCUGUUCGAGCGUCAUUUCAACCCUCAAGCCCCCGGGUUUGGUGUUGGGGAUCGGCUCUGCCUUCUGGCGGUGCCGCCCCCGAAAUACAUUGGCGGUCUCGCUGCAGCCUCCAUUGCGUAGUAGCUAACACCUCGCAACUGGAACGCGGCGCGGCCAUGCCGUAAAACCCCAACUUCUGAAUGUUGACCUCGGAUCAGGUA